CUUCAUUUCCCCGGGGACACCCUGCGGGUGCUGCCCUCCCGCCUGUACCCCAGCCCCCCCCGCUCCCCGCUGUGUCCCGAAGUUGGGGGGCCGCCCGCAGCCGCGGAGGGAGCGGGAGCGGGGCCGGGGGGUGCGGUACUCACUUUGCCCUUCAAAUUUGCGGAUGAUGGUGUCCAGGGAGUAAUUUCGCUGAGCCUCCUAAUUUCAGCAGAAAGCAUGAUGCAGGAGCCAGAAGGCAGCAAAAUCUCUCCAGAUGUUAUCGCAACGGGGAAGGGAAAUCAUCCUCGGUUUAAAGGUAUCUCGUAAAACAUUGCUGCCGGCUUGGCAGAGCCCUCAUGGCACCUGCAGGCCCUCGUUGCCCUGAAAAGCUUCACCUGCUCCCCCCAGGCUUUGGCCCACCAGCUCCAUUUAAGGUCAAGGUGGGAGUUUCAGUUUCCCCCUGAGCUGGGCUGGGCGUAACCUUGUAGCCCCAUCUCCUGGGUGGAACCUUGGGCCUGUGUUGAAGGUAGCUUGGUGUCCAGCUCCAUCCUAUCUGCUCCAUGGACCUUGGACCUGUGUUGAUGGUAACCUGGUAUCCAGCCCCAUCCCAUCUGCUCCAUGGACUUUGGACCUGUGUUGAAGGUAGCUUUGUGUCUAGCCCCAUCCCAUCUGCUGUAUCUGCAUGGACCUUGGACCUGUGUUGAAGCUCCAACCUGUCUGCUCCACGGACCUUGGACCUAUGUUGAAGGUAACCUGGUAUCCAGCCCCAUCCCAUCUGCUCCAUGGACAUUGGGCCUGUGUUGAAGCUCCAUCCUGUCUGCUCCACGGACCUUGGACCUAUGCUGAAGGUAACCUGGUAUCCAGCCCCAUCCCAUCUGCUCCACGGACCUUGGACCCGUGUUGAAGGUAGCCUGGUAUCCAGCCCCGUCCCAUCUGCUGCAUCUGCAUGGACCUUGGACCUAUGUUGAAGAAAGCAAUUUUCAUGGAACUUAUAGAAUCUUGAUGAUCUUGGAGUCCUCUUUUCCUCCACUAAUGGGGCAGAAAGCAGCCAGGCAGCUCCAAAUUACCGGGGAGGAGCUGAGCUGGAUGGAGCACACCUGCACCAGCCCAUUUUCCCAGGCUGAAAAUACACUUGGCUUCAAACCCAGCUCUCACCGUGCCAGGUCUCUGCUCCAUGAGCACCGCGUUGCCGGGAAGGGGGGAGAGGAGGGCGCCUGGUGU